ensembl:lncRNA
CCCUUAGGAAGCUUUCUGCUUCCAAUCCCAGUGCCCUAACACCAAGCCUGCCUAGAAAAUAAUCAAAAUAUUACUAUGCAUUGGAAAAGGAAUCCACACAACCUCGGCUAGAAUUAGCUUUUCAAAACAGUACACUCAGAUGAACUCGCUAAGAUUUUUUAAUAUUUUUAAAAAAUUUUUCCUUAUAAGUUUACUCAGACUGAAAAAAAAAAAAGACGUUUUCUCACACAUAUUAGCAGGAGCAGUCUUCAGCGAUGUAAGAAAAGCUUACUUCCAUUCAGACAGCUGUUUCUUAGGAGAGUACACAAGAGUUCGGGCCCCAGGGCCUCACUGCAGGCUGUCACUGGCCGAUAAACGCCAUUUCAGGCUACUUACACAAGCAUUCUGAGCUUCCGUCUCCCCGUCUGUAAAACGCGGAUGACACCGUCAACCCAGAGAAACACUGACGGGCACCGAGUAAGUCUCAGUAUAGCUCUCCAGUGACGCAACCGAAGGAAACAAGCAAAACCUGCCUCUGGGAUUCGCUCUUCACCAAUAAUUACUCCAGCUUUACAGAGUCACAGAAAAGUGUUCAGAAGAACCAGCUUAUUUUCUCAAGAAAAAGAAAUCAGGACCAACCUGGUUUAUUUUGCCUUGCGCUUUGGAUAAACUAAUCAGAAUCAGGUGAACUGUCAGUUGUGUACAGUUGGACGUCAGACGCUGAAAACGACACACAGAUCCAGCAGUCCCGGUCUCCAACAGUGCUCGUGCACCUCAUUGCUGUCCGAGUUGUUACAUUCCAAGAGGAAGCACAGACGAGAUGUUCAUACUCAGGCUUUCAGUUUUCUGUUCUGCGCGACCCUCUUGGCCGCCUGUGCCCCCAGAGCCCGCACUGCAGAUUGCAGCCUUGGAAGUCUUGCUGCAUGGAAAGGUCUUCUAAUGUCCCAUUUGGGGUGAACUGACAUGUGACUGGUGUGCCCAUCAGUUACACCAGGGGCAGAAACCUGCACAGACCAUGGGAAGACAGCUCUCCCGACUGAGAAAGUGGCCUCGACCAGCCCUGCAUAAGACGCAAAACUGAAAAUUUUUUCACCCUCAACUGGCAUUCUUUCAGGGAGUCAAAUUAAAG